rnacentral:rRNA from 1 species
CACUCCUGCGGGAGGCAGCAGUGGGGAAUAUUGCACAAUGGGCGCAAGCCUGAUGCAGCCAUGCCGCGUGUAUGAAGAAGGCCUUCGGGUUGUAAAGUACUUUCAGCGGGGAGGAAGGCGAUAAGGUUAAUAACCUUGUUGAUUGACGUUACCCGCAGAAGAAGCACCGGCUAACUCCGUGCCAGCAGCCGCGGUAAUACGGAGGGUGCAAGCGUUAAUCGGAAUUACUGGGCGUAAAGCGCACGCAGGCGGUCUGUCAAGUCGGAUGUGAAAUCCCCGGGCUCAACCUGGGAACUGCAUUCGAAACUGGCAGGCUAGAGUCUUGUAGAGGGGGGUAGAAUUCCAGGUGUAGCGGUGAAAUGCGUAGAGAUCUGGAGGAAUACCGGUGGCGAAGGCGGCCCCCUGGACAAAGACUGACGCUCAGGUGCGAAAGCGUGGGGAGCAAACAGGAUUAGAAACCCUAGUAGUCCC